AGUCUGCAUUUCUCAUGUCUUUGAGAUUGAAAGGUGGAUGAGAGAGAGAGAGAGAAAGAGAGAGGCUCUGCAUCCCCAAGCUGCUUCCAGCGUGGGCUCCACUCUCCACAGGCUUCAAGCCGGGUGGACGGCAACAUGCAGCAGAUAUACUCCAGAGGGGCUUUCCUCACGCUGUGCUUGACUCCCGCCGCGCUAACAAGCCUCCACCCCGAGUGCGAGUUCAUCUUCCAGCUGGAGAAAGACGAGCGCCGAUGCCUGCGCUCCAUCGCCGAGCAGGGAAACACGAGCGCUCACGGUUGUCGAGCAUUCUGGGACGCAGUGGUGUGUUGGCCUCACGCUGGAGUCGGGGAAACUGUUUACAGCGCUUGUCCUGCUGUGUUUUCCCUCUUCCGAAACGGCACAGGACAAGUGAGCCGAAAUUGCACCGAUGGAGGUUGGUCCAAACCGUUCCCGCCGUACCACGUCGCCUGCAGGGUGGACGAUGACAUACCAGAGACGGAGCAGAGCUACUUUGCCACCGUGAAAUUGAUCUACACCAUCGGCUACAGUAUCUCGCUGCUGGUGUUGACUGCCGCCGUGGUCAUCCUGCUCUUCUUUAGGAGGCUCCGUUGCGCUAGAAACUUCAUCCACAUCCAACUUUUCCUCACCUUCAUCCUGAAAGCCGCGGCGGUGUUCGUCAAGGACGCCACUCUGUUCUCCAGCGACGACACCAACCACUGCACCCUCUCCACCUUCGCCUGUAAGGCCGCUGUGGUCUUUUGUCACUAUUGCGUCAUGGCCAAUUUCUUCUGGCUCCUGGUGGAGGCGCUCUACCUCACUUCCCUACUGCUUUCCUCGUUUUACCACAGACGACGGUGCCUGUGGGGAUUCAGUCUGCUGGGAUGGGGGGUUCCCGUGUUCUUCAUCGUGCUGUGGAUCGGGUCCAGGGUGUAUUUUGAAGACACAGAAUGCUGGGACAUCAAUGAAGACUCACACUAUUGGUGGAUCAUCAAGGGCCCCAUCGUGGUGUCCAUUGUGGUCAACUUCAUUCUCUUUGUCAACAUCGUUAGAAUUCUGAUCCAGAAGCUGAGUCCGCGACUAAUCCAGUUCAAUAACUCAUCACAGUACAGAUGAAACCAUGCAAAGCGUGUGCGAAAUGGUUGAUGCAUCGCAGCUCGGGCCCGUGAUGAAUUCAUUUAGCCACUGCUCUGCCUCGCUCUCUGCUUCACGAGAGGCUUACGAGGAAACUCAUUGAAAUGAGCUGGCAGAUCAGAGGAAUGUGUUUGGGCACACUGUGUACGUGAUGGAAGAGUGAGAGAGAGGAAGAAAAAAAACAUCCGCCGAUGCCGAGAUGAGUUGCCUGGAGGCGGCUAAAUUGACAAAACACUACUAUUUUUUUCUCAGCACUCUUGUUCUAUUACCGUCAUAAACAUAGACAGAAAUCUUUGGCAGAGAGUGUUCCUGUAAUGGAUACUUACCAGUGCAAGAUGCUACACGUCAUCAGCUAACAUCUUUUUCACUAAGUGAACCAACAUGUGGACUCAUUGUCCAAGACGCCUGACCAAGUCCACCCUGCUGCUCAUCCCCUUGUUUGGCACCCACUACAUCUUUUUCAAUUUCCUGCCUGACUACUUUAACAUAAACCUCCGCCUCUGGGUUGAGCUCUGCAUCGGAUCCUUCCAGG